ensembl:snoRNA
UACUGAACUCUACACUUAAGACGGUUAGGGGGCCCUAAUAUUCCCUUGGUUUUGGCCCUUUGCUAGAGCAAGGUCUGUUCUUUUCCUCUGCACUGAAAGGACUAUUUAUCCCUUUAAGCGUAUUCAGAAAGUCAGCACGUUU